CGUCGGUUACGAAGACGAGGGUUCCAGUUGAUACGAUCAACGGAACAGCCUGCUCGUGAAAUUAACGUGCAAGUGGCUGAGCACUCCACAGACACGUGUGUCCUAAAAGUAGUUCUCGGGGAUGUUCAGCGUGACACAGAGUGUGACAAGGCUGGCCCUUUGAAAUACAGGUACAACAAAAACAGGAAGACUGAGUGAGAGAAAGUUGUG